ensembl:lncRNA
GUUGGGCACAGCUGGAGCCAUCCACACGAGCCACAGAAAGGCAGCAGCUGCAGGGCUGAUGGAGAAGAAGCCAAAGAUUUGAGCAGGGUCCCAGCACAUCAUGGUGCCGUCUUCACUGCACACAGGGAGGGAUCCUUUUCACACCCCAGAGGGGGAUGUGAAAUGCUACCUGUUUCAUUAAUUCUGUCUCAGUAUAAGUCAGCACACCUUGAGGGGGUAAAUGAUGGAAAACACAAAUUGGAUCAGUAUUUUUUUUAAGGAGGGGAAGCGUGUAUUUGUUCAUGGGACUGACAACUACAGAAGAGGUAUCUUCAGAUGUGACUUGACCCAAGGCUCAGCAGUGUAACCAUGAUCUCAGUGUUUGUCUGUGUCUCUUUGCUUUUACCCUGCUUCCCCCUUUAUUGGUUCCCUUUCAGACAGGUCUUUCAAACGAUGGCCCCUAGCAGCUCCAGAUGUAUGACUUCACCACGCCAAGACCCUCAGAAAAGAAACAGAUCUUCCUUUCUCCAGCAGUGUGAACAAAAUCCAAGGUCUAACUCUCAUUGGCCUGAUCUGGAUCACAUGCUUAGUCACAUGCUUAUCCCUCAACCAAUCACUGUGGCACACAGGAUGUGCCAUUCCCCUAUGCCUGAGAUCAGACACCCAUUCCCAGAGGAAUCAGCAUGUGGACUGAGAUGGGCAGAUGUUGUAAAGAAAAACCAUAUGAAGUUAACAAAAGAAGGGAUGCUGAACAACAGAAAUGACAGCUGUCUGGUCACUCAUGUUGAGGAUACAUUGUCAUUCCAGCUACUAGCAAAACAAGGAUGAGAUGUGCACAGAAGAAAAGCCAUGUGAAGGACACAGUGAGAAGGUGGCCGUCUGCAAGCCAAGGAGAGAGACCUCACCAAACACCAACCCUGGAGGCACCCUGAUCUCAGACUUCCAGCCUUCAGAACUGUGAGAAAAUAAAUGUGUUGAUCUAAUCGCCAUGCCCAGAAGAUUCCUCCCCAGAGGCAAGUGACAUCUUGAGGUGGUAGACAGCUCUCCCAAGAUCACAGAUCAAGGAAAGGAAAGCUGCUGGUAUUAUUCAUUGAGCCCUGGGACAUCAGGAGAAAAG